GAGUGGCGAACUGGUGAGUAACACGUGGGAAACCUGCCCAGAAGCGGGGGAUAACACCUGGAAACAGAUGCUAAUACCGCAUAACAACUUGGACCGCAUGGUCCGAGCUUGAAAGAUGGCUUCGGCUAUCACUUUUGGAUGGUCCCGCGGCGUAUUAGCUAGAUGGUGGGGUAACGGCUCACCAUGGCAAUGAUACGUAGCCGACCUGAGAGGGUAAUCGGCCACAUUGGGACUGAGACACGGCCCAAACUCCUACGGGAGGCAGCAGUAGGGAAUCUUCCACAAUGGACGAAAGUCUGAUGGAGCAACGCCGCGUGAGUGAAGAAGGGUUUCGGCUCGUAAAACUCUGUUGUUAAAGAAGAACAUAUCUGAGAGUAACUGUUCAGGUAUUGACGGUAUUUAACCAGAAAGCCACGGCUAACUACGUGCCAGCAGCCGCGGUAAUACGUAGGUGGCAAGCGUUGUCCGGAUUUAUUGGGCGUAAAGCGAGCGCAGGCGGUUUUUUAAGUCUGAUGUGAAAGCCUUCGGCUCAACCGAAGAAGUGCAUCGGAAACUGGGAAACUUGAGUGCAGAAGAGGACAGUGGAACUCCAUGUGUAGCGGUGAAAUGCGUAGAUAUAUGGAAGAACACCAGUGGCGAAGGCGGCUGUCUGGUCUGUAACUGACGCUGAGGCUCGAAAGUAUGGGUAGCAAACAGGAUUAGAUACCCUGGUAGUCCAUACCGUAAACGAUGAAUGCUAAGUGUUGGAGGGUUUCCGCCCUUCAGUGCUGCAGCUAACGCAUUAAGCAUUCCGCCUGGGGAGUACGGCCGCAAGGCUGAAACUCAAAGGAAUUGACGGGGGCCCGCACAAGCGGUGGAGCAUGUGGUUUAAUUCGAAGCUACGCGAAGAACCUUACCAGGUCUUGACAUACUAUGCAAAUCUAAGAGAUUAGACGUUCCCUUCGGGGACAUGGAUACAGGUGGUGCAUGGUUGUCGUCAGCUCGUGUCGUGAGAUGUUGGGUUAAGUCCCGCAACGAGCGCAACCCUUAUUAUCAGUUGCCAGCAUUAAGUUGGGCACUCUGGUGAGACUGCCGGUGACAAACCGGAGGAAGGUGGGGAUGACGUCAAAUCAUCAUGCCCCUUAUGACCUGGGCUACACACGUGCUACAAUGGAUGGUACAACGAGUUGCGAACUCGCGAGAGUAAGCUAAUCUCUUAAAGCCAUUCUCAGUUCGGAUUGUAGGCUGCAACUCGCCUACAUGAAGUCGGAAUCGCUAGUAAUCGCGGAUCAGCAUGCCGCGGUGAAUACGUUCCCGGGCCUUGUACACACCGCCCGUCACACCAUGAGAGUUUGUAACACCCAAAGUCGGUGAG
rnacentral:rRNA from 1 species